rnacentral:lncRNA from 1 species
ACAAAGCUAUGCCCGCUUUUGUAGCUAAAAAUCUCUUGUUUUAUUUUCUUUCCGCAAAUGUGCAAACUUACAAAAUUAUUUUGCUUUUACUCUCACUGGCGAACAAUAUGUUUUUAAUUAAAAUCUUUUGCACAUCCGGUAAAAAAAAAAAAAAAAAAAAGAAAACCCCUUUGCACAAAGCUCAUUUAUCUUGGGUAUGUAACUUCCUUGAAUGUUCCAAAUUUUGUACUUGAACUUUGAUGUAAACCGCGUUUAUAUUCUAAUGUGUAUUAAAUUUAUUCUACAUAUAUUUCGUAUAUAAUUUUAAAUGAGUUUAUUGUUCAUACUCGUAUUUUUUCUAGAGAGAGGGAAAGUUGUCGAAACAGUUGGCAGCCGUUGGAAUUUGAGAAGUUGGUAGUUGGUGGUACUUUAUAAUAAAAAGCAAUUUUUUAACGUAGUUUAGUCUAAAUUUGUUGACAAUAAAGUUCCAAUUAAUGGCGGUGAUAAAAUGAUUAUUAC